rnacentral:lncRNA from 1 species
GGAACAGCAGUUGCCAGGGGUUGUGUCUAAACGGAGGUCACUGUGAGGACUCUGUGUCAGGCUCACGCUGCCUGUGUGUGCCUGGUUUCUCUGGGAAGCACUGCCAGACUGGCCCCAGUCCCUGUGAUAGCACCCCCUGUCAGCACGGAGGCCAGUGUGUGGACAAGGAGGGCAGGGCGGAGCUGUGUAGCUGUCCCAUCGGCUACUCAGGGACCUACUGCGAGGUGGUGGUGGAUCUGUGCAAUCCUAACCCAUGCCAGCAGGGGGUGCCCUGUCGGAGCACCGAGGGGGGGUACAUGUGUGCCUGCCCCGAGGGUUACUAUGGUAAUGAGUGCACAAGCCUUAAGGACCCCUGUCAUGGCCAACACUGUCCAGGUGCCAUGUCAGACCCAGCUCGUGGAGGGGUCAAUCUCUACAUGGUGUUGGUGGGUGUGUCAGCGUUAGUAAUGGCGUGCGGCUGCGCUGCUUGCGCCCUCUUCCUCUCCCGUCUCCACCGACGACGGAAAAAGACGCAGGGCGGGCCCCAGGAGGAGGGCAUCAACAACCAGAGGGAGUUCGUCACCCUUGUACGAAACCUGGACCACCCCGCGCCCCUCCUGCCCCCUCUCAACCCCAACACCACCGCCCACACCCCUGUCCCUGUACCGCGCUGCUGCGAGGAGAUCGAGCUCACUCUGCCCCCCUCCCCGGCCCCCUCACAACCCUCCCCUGCACUCAAACCCUCAACCCCCGCCGCCAAACAGGACAUCUCCAACCUGGAGAGGGAGAAGCUCAACCGCUUCCACUACUCAGACAAUCAGGAACUGGAGGUGUGACCUUUGAACUGUCAGAGGCUUUUAUUAUUUUGCACCCACUUCUCUCUGCCUGGCCCUGGGCCCCACCGCUGUGCCGUGCUGCAUAGGUUCCUGUGGUGAUGACCUCACCCAACCCAUCCCUCUCUGAGUUGACUCCUCAUCUUUUGUGAGCUGAGACUGUCAUCUGCUAAAUAGCAUAUAUUAUUGGUGUAGAAUGCUGGGCCUACGGGGUAGUUAAGCAGAUCAUCAAGAAACAGCAUGGCGGUGAACUUUAACCUCCGACUUAUGACAUCAUGCACUUCUGACCUGCUGACCCCGGAGCUAAUCUUAUGAGGGUUGGCCUUGAGUUACGAGUCUGGCUUGUGUCUGAGUGUCUCUGUGUUUUAUGGGAACAACUGUGAGGAGCCAUUUGAGCCAUUCCCCAGGUGUUAACGUCCCUCUGUAGGCACCCCACUGCCCUGGUUGCCCUGGAAGGCCUAGAUGGCCUGCUAGUGAUAUCUGUAACUGGACCUCUACAGAGACGGUAGGCCUGCACUGUGGCCUCCUGGGCUGGAAGGCAACUGACAGGGAAUGGGAGGGAAGGGCAACGUGGUUUUAAUUCCAAUUAGUCCAUUUCCACAUUAAUUAUUGAAGGAUAAACUGUGGUAUAAUUAUUAUGUGUGUGUGUGUGUCUUUGUGUGUCAGUGCGAGGUGUGUGUACGCGUGCCAGUGCAAGGUGUGUGUGUGAUAAGCAUUACAGAUCUUCAUACCUGUUGCCAGGAGAGAGAGAGAAAAUGACUGAAGGAGCAACAAAAGGGCAAAAAAGAAUCAAUGAAUGCAAGCUUUAGAUUUCAAAACAAGAGGGAAAGUUCAGACAAGAGAGUAGAGCCUGACCCCAAUCCAUUUGAACCAUGAGAGAACUGAGUUAAAACAUGACACUGUUGCCUGUGCGGUCUCUGUAACACACUGCGGUUGUCGAAGAUGUCAAAGGUUUUUUUAUACCUGUGUGUAAAAUAGCUCUGUUGUAUAUAUGUUGUACAUAUUGGUAUUGUUUUUUUUUGUAUUGUGGUUUGUCUCUGAAUGUCGCCGUUUUACUUCGCUCUAUUUGUCCUCUCUCUCCUUCCGUUCGUCUGGGGCUGCCAGCAGGUGUGGAUCGUAAUUAAAGUGCAUUUACCUUCCAAAUCCAUGUAUGUGUCGCGGAGUUAUUUGUGUCUCAGAUCCAA